rnacentral:rRNA from 1 species
UGGGGAAUAUUGCACAAUGGGGGAAACCCUGAUGCAGCGACGCCGCGUGAACGAAGAAGGUAUUCGUAUCGUAAAGUUCUGUCCUAUGGGAAGAUAAUGACAGUACCAUAGAAGAAAGCUCCGGCUAAAUACGUGCCAGCAGCCGCGGUAAUACGUAUGGAGCGAGCGUUGUCCGGAAUUAUUGGGCGUAAAGGGUACGCAGGCGGUUUAAUAAGUCGAAUGUUAAAGAUCGGGGCUCAACCCCGCAAAGCAUUGGAAACUGAUAAACUUGAGUAGUGGAGAGGAAAGUGGAAUUCCUAGUGUGUGGUGAAAUACGUAGAUAUUAGGAGGAAUACCAGUAGCGAAGGCGACUUUCUGGACACAAACUGACGCUGAGGUACGAAAGCGUGGGGAGCAAACAGG